rnacentral:misc_RNA from 1 species
GAUGAAGAACGUAGCGAAAUGCGACAAGUAAUGUGAAUUGCAGAAUUCAGUGAAUCAUCGAAUCUUUGAACGCACAUUGCGCCCCUUGGUAUUCCGAGGGGCAUGCCUGUUCGAGCGUCAUUACACCACUCAAGCUAUGCUUGGUAUUGGGCGUCGUCCUUAGUUGGGCGCGCCUUGAAGACCUCGGCGAGGCCACUCCGGCUUUAGGCGUAGUAGAAUUUAUUCGAACGUCUGUCAAAGGAGAGGAACUCUGCCGACUGAAACCUUUAUUUUUCUAGGUUGACCUCGGAUCAGGUAGGGAUACCCGCUGAACUUAAGCAUAUCAAUAAGCGGAGGA